UACGGGGGGGGUAAGCGUUGUUCGGAAUUACUGGGCGUAAAGCGCACGUAGGCGGAUUGCUAAGUCAGGGGUGAAAUCCUGGAGCUCAACUCCAGAACUGCCUUUGAUACUGGCGAUCUCGAGUCCGGGAGAGGUGAGUGGAACUGCGAGUGUAGAGGUGAAAUUCGUAGAUAUUCGCAAGAACACCAGUGGCGAAGGCGGCUCACUGGCCCGGUACUGACGCUGAGGUGCGAAAGCGUGGGGAGCAAACAGG
rnacentral:rRNA from 1 species